rnacentral:misc_RNA from 1 species
CCCAAAAAAAAAAAGGACAUUAAACCUCCACGAAUUUCCACUAUUCUAACUGAAAUCUGCAUUAACCCAGAGUAAAUGGAAUACAAAAUACAAACACCUCACAGCAUCAAAAAUCCAACUAAAUUCUAAGGGUAUGUAUGACCCUCCAGGAGUUCCAUCUAUGGCCAGACACAGGAAUAAACAUUACAUUGCAGCCCUAAAUCAGUGAUUUGAAAAUCAUUCCAAUUCUGGUAAAAAGUCUGGUAGGCAGAACUCUGUUCUUGAAUUUAUUUUUUUAUUUUUAUUAUUUUUUUACUAUUAUAAUUGCGUGCAGGCUUAAUUAGUUACCUCACAUUCUGAAGUUGUCUGGCUUCUAUAUCCUCAAGUCUGAGAGUUACUGCUCUCUUGUGGGCUUCCAGCCCUUCAACUUCAGCCAUGGUUGCCACGUAUGGACCUAGCUUUCUCAGACCUUCCUCUGUCAAAGACUGCACAGUCAUGUAUUUAAGGAAAGAAUCUAAGGACACUCCAC